UAGGGAAUCUUCCACAAUGGACGCAAGUCUGAUGGAGCAACGCCGCGUGAGUGAAGAAGGUUUUCGGAUCGUAAAGCUCUGUUGUUGGUGAAGAAGGAUAGAGGCAGUAACUGGUCUUUAUUUGACGGUAAUCAACCAGAAAGUCACGGCUAACUACGUGCCAGCAGCCGCGGUAAUACGUAGGUGGCAAGCGUUGUCCGGAUUUAUUGGGCGUAAAGCGAGCGCAGGCGGAAUGAUAAGUCUGAUGUGAAAGCCCACGGCUCAACCGUGGAACUGCAUCGGAAACUGUCAUUCUUGAGUGCAGAAGAGGAGAGUGGAAUUCCAUGUGUAGCGGUGGAAUGCGUAGAUAUAUGGAAGAACACCAGUGGCGAAGGCGGCUCUCUGGUCUGCAACUGACGCUGAGGCUCGAAAGCAUGGGUAGCGUACAGG
rnacentral:rRNA from 1 species